CGGCCCUGACGGCGGCGCAGCGGGCGCGGGCGCGGGGGACGCGCUUUAAUUUAUUCCUCAGACUGGCCCGGCCGCGCCGCUCCGCGCCCCGCGCUAUUUAUUCGCCCGCCGCGGGCCCCCCGCGCGCCGGGGCCGCCGCGGCCGCAGCAGCAGUAGCCAAAGGUUUGCGAUUCUAAUUUAUUCCCUUCCUCGCGUGGCCGCCGGGGCGGCGGCGACCCCCGGCCCCGCUCCGCCCGGCCCGGGCCCGUCCGGGGGACGCUGCGGCGCCGCUUCCCGGCCCGUUUCUAUUUAUUUUCUAACCGUGCGCGGAGCUCUCCCCCCACCCCCACCCACCCCACCCCCCCCGCUGGUGGGUUCGGUCCGGUCCAUCCCCUUGGGUUUCGGUUUUUGUUUGUAUCUUUAUUGCAAAACCAAUGUAGACUGCGAGGGUACGUUUCUAUUUAUGUUAUAGUAAAUAUUUUAUUACUUACAUAAACCAUUUACCCAGGAACCGGUCUCGUGUCGUCUUUGCGGGCCCGGGCGCGCUCCCUCCCCGGGCCCCCCGCGCCCCCCGCCGCCGCGCUCCGUCCCCGGGGGCAGGCGGGGGCCGCCGGUGCUCCCCCCGCCCCGGGCCGCGCUCCCCGGAGCCGCCGCGCUGCGCAGCCCCUGCGCCCGGGGGGGCGGCCCGGCGCGGCUCCGUGCUGGUGCCGCCGCGUUCUUCCGCGGCUCCGAACCGAACUUUUUGCCGCCCGCAGCGCCAGCAGAAGCGGCUCUGAACGCAGCCGUCCGUCCGCAGUUCGCGCUGUGCGCUGGGCAGCGCGGCCGCGGGGAGGCCCGCAUCCCCCAGCCCACCUCCCGGGCCGUCAGGUGGCACCAGCAAAACGUCGAGAAAAGUCGCGUGUCAGGAUUGCGUCCGACCGAGCGGGUCCCUCGCCUCCUGCCGUGCGUUGGGAAAACUUUGGAAACGUGGCCUGUGCAGAGCCCCUGCACUGCUGCAAGGCUUGGGCGAAAUCUGUAGUUGUUUCUCACUGAAGUGAAAGUGUGAGCUCAUACUACUACAUCAGGAGUGAAGCAUGCGAAGGUAAGACGGUGAUGUUGGUACAGUAAAAGGAAAGCAGAUGUACAGGUAGUUAUUUAACAAUGCACAAAUGGAG
rnacentral:lncRNA from 1 species